AUUGAACGCUGGCGGCAUGCCUUACACAUGCAAGUCGAACGGCAGCACGGGAGCUUGCUCCUGGUGGCGAGUGGCGAACGGGUGAGUAAUACAUCGGAACGUACCCUGAAGUGGGGGAUAACGUAGCGAAAGUUACGCUAAUACCGCAUAUUCUGUGAGCAGGAAAGAGGGGGAUCGCAAGACCUCUUGCUUUAGGAGCGGCCGAUGUCGGAUUAGCUAGUUGGUGAGGUAAAGGCUCACCAAGGCGACGAUCCGUAGCGGGUCUGAGAGGAUGAUCCGCCACACUGGAACUGAGACACGGUCCAGACUCCUACGGGAGGCAGCAGUGGGGAAUUUUGGACAAUGGGCGCAAGCCUGAUCCAGCCAUGCCGCGUGAGUGAAGAAGGCCUC
rnacentral:rRNA from 1 species